UACACACUGCUGCCACAUGCCCAUAUGCUUGACACCUGUAACAACGUAAUGCAUUUGGCACAAAAUCUCAUAAGGGAUAACAUAUAUUACAAUGCAUUCACAACACAUUGUGUGUGCCCUCAGGCCACUACUCUACUAUCAUAUAUCUACAACACAAAAUCCUUGUGUACGUGUGUGUACAGUGCGUAUGUUAUCGUGUGUAUGCAUGUGUCUCUUCAUAGUCCCCGCUGUUCCAUAAGGUAUAUUUUUAUCUGUUUUUUUAAAUCUAAUUUUACUGCUUGCGUGAGUUACUUGAUGUGGAAUAGAGUUCCAUGUAGUCAUGGCUCUAUGUAGUACAGUGCGCCUCCCAUAGUCUGUUCUGUUUAGGUUAGUGUGUAGUCAAGGCUUUGUCAUUAGAAUUAUAUUGUGCCCAUUUUUCAGAUCUAAUGCAUCUGCUACACCGGCCACGACAGGUGAUACAGAUCUGCCACCCCCAGCAGUUCAGCAGCAGUCACAGCAGUCCUCUGCUACACCGGUUCCUACUACACUGGCCGUGAAGGGAGAAACCUUUGAGAAUACCUAGAUGGAUACAGAUCUGGCAUGCACUAGACCACUGCCUGACAGCCUCACCCAGAAGACACUGGGCCUAUCAAGACUGACAAAGCAGAGAUGGGCGGCUGACAAGGAAAAAUAAAACAGAACUUGCACUCACACACAUUAUCCACAAUGUAAAUAAGUUGUAAUUACUUGUUUAUUUAAUGUUUGCUCCAUUUUAUUUUAGGAUUGGAGAUAUCUACUCCUUCAUAUCCAUACUCAAUAUCCCACAUAAUUACUCUAAAUAUCAAUCAAAUCAAAGUUGAAAACAUGUCUCCCUCUCACACACACUAGACCAAAUGUAAAUAAAUUGUAAUAACUUGUUUAUUUUAUGUAUGCUCCAUUUUAUUUGAGGAAAAUAUCUGCAAUAAAGUACAUUCACAGUUAAA